GGUUGUUUAGUGAAUAAAAUAUUGCUGUUUUCUAUAGCCUAAUCGAAAGAGCUCAUUUUUCUGAGUAUAACGUGAUUUUAUUGGAUUCCAACACCUUUGUUUUGAUGGUUAAAUCAACAAAACAAUGUUAAUUUUCGUGGAUAGAAUGACAGUUCAAUCGUUAAAGUGACAGUUCGACCCGAACAAAAAAUUUUCCCCAUACAAACUUUAAAUGCAUUUUAAAAAUAGUUCCCGGACUCCAAAAAUUAUGAAAUUUUGGAUUUCGACUAAUUUUUGGGCGGAGAAUCCGAUUAUGAAAUAAUCCGGAUACCCCUAAAGAACCCAAUUAUUCCCCUGAUUAUUCCUGGGACAUCACAGCCCGCACUGGAAAUACGGAAUCUUGAAGGUUAGAGAAAUCGUCAGCGGUUCUUCCGGAAGACGAUGAGAAGGAACAGGGCAAACGUGUCGAUCCGGUCGAACGAGGACCGGGCAAGAAGGAGAAGCUUGAAACUGACAGUGUGGACGAGUUGGAGGACGAUGCGGAUCCGGGCGAAAAGGCCCCAGAAUAGAGGAGAAAGAGAACGGGUUUAACCGGUAGUGAAACUUCUCGAUGUAGGUAACUUGCAGCUGGUUGAAGAGGCGAUGAUGUGCCAAGACACGAAGUGGCCAAGAAGAGCCACCUCAAGGAGUGCUGCAGAUUGCAUCCGAUCCGAAAAUCAACAGUGCGCCAUCCGCGACCAAAUGCAGAACGCUAUCGGGGCGAACAUUUGCGCAAAAAAUCGUUAAAUUUAGUGAUUUACCACAAUUUUUUUUAUUAAACACAUUUGCUCAAAAUAAACUGAUAUCUAAUGACAA